rnacentral:rRNA from 1 species
UUAAAAAGCUCGUAGUUGAAUUUCUGGUCUUGGACGGCGGUCUGCCUCAAACGAGGUACGUAUCAUCUGUCCGGGUCCAUCCUCGGGGAAAAUAUAUCUGUGAUUCAGUUCAUGGGUAUAGGAUCCUCGUCAUUUAUUGUGAGCAAAAUAGGGUGUUCAAAGCAGGCUUAUGCCGUUGAAUACAUUAGCAUGGAAUAAUAAGAUAAGACCUUGGUCUAUUUUGUUGGUUUGCAUUCCAAGGUAAUGAUUAAUAGGGACAGUUGGGGGUAUUCGUAUUCAAUUGUCAGAGGUGAAAUUCUUGGAUUUAUGGAAGACGAACUACUGCGAAAGCAUUUACCAAGGAUGUUUUCAUUAAUCAAGAACGAAAGUUAGGGGAUCGAAGAUGAUUAGAUACCAUCGUAGUCUUAACCAUAAACUAUGCCGACUAGGGAUUGGUGGACGUUUGUAACGACUCCAUCAGCACCUUGUGAGAAAUCAAAGUCUUUGGGUUCCGGGGGGAGUAUGGUCCGCAAGGCUGAAACUUACAGAAAUUGACGGAAGGGCACCCC